GUAUGGCAUACAGGUGAGAUGUAAUGGUACAUCUGCACUGAACGUGACCGACUCCAGAGCUAUUUCUGCUGUCAAGAUUUGCUCCGAUGGGAUAUGGGUAUAAAUGUCCCUCCGACCUGAGAUCGCCACGGUGACUUGCAAGCAACUCACUGCACUUAGGCACUGGACUACCUGAAUUUCUAAUUCACUGACGGAAGGCUGCUGGGUGUAGUCAAGUAC
rnacentral:lncRNA from 1 species